UCCCAGAGAAAAAAGAGCUUUAUUUCCUAAAGCCUGGGGUCACCUCUACCCGAAGGGGCAGGAAACUUGGAAUCCACUUCUCCAACACUCCCGUGAGCAGGUGGCAGAACGGAGUUACGGAAGUCACCUGGGGCAGGUAUCCCCUCCUGUGUCUUGUUUUUCUCAUCUGGAAAAGCAGGUGUCAUGGGAUUGCCCUUCCAGGGCGGGCUGGCGUCCACGAGGGCCCAGAACAGCAAUCCCUGUCAUGUCGAUAAUGUCAUUACCUCCUCACGGCUCAUGUGCCCAGGCCUCACCUUCCCACCCACACUGGACGGCCGAUUUCCUCGUUACCCUGGCGACCAUAGAACCGUGGAGAAACACGAGAAGAGAUGAAGUAAGGAAAACCACUAAGCAGCAGUUACGGGCAGGUCGUAGGGAGCAGAUAAGCGCACACACCAAUGAAGCACCUUGGUUUUCUUUUUAAUUGACAGAGGACACUGCGCUGCCAGGGAUGGACGGACAGACAGACAUGGAAAGGCACAUUCGGUGUUGCAGAGCCUUGAGGACAUAACAAGAAGUCAAAAUGAGAGGCAACCCACAAAGCAUACCAACCUCCCAGCGGCUCCUGUAUCUCUGCGAAAAGCCUGGCAGUAGAACCAGCUACAACUCAUUCUUCACUUUCACACUGCGUUUCAAUAAACUGAUUUUCCCCCAGCUGCUUAAAAACGGUUUGUCCUCUUAAUUAGGUAAAUAUUCUCUUAUGAGCU